CAGGACGAACGCUGGCGGCGUGCUUAACACAUGCAAGUCGAACGCUGAAGCUUGGGUGCUUGCAUCUGGGUGGAUGAGUGGCGAACGGGUGAGUAAUACGUGAGUAACCUGCCCUUGACUCUGGGAUAAGCCUGGGAAACUGGGUCUAAUACUGGAUACUACAUUCUCUCGCAUGGGGGGGUGUGGAAAGGGUUUUACUGGUCUUGGAUGGGCUCACGGCCUAUCAGCUUGUUGGUGGGGUAAUGGCCUACCAAGGCGACGACGGGUAGCCGGCCUGAGAGGGUGACCGGCCACACUGGGACUGAGACACGGCCCAGACUCCUACGGGAGGCAGCAGUGGGGAAUAUUGCACAAUGGGCGAAAGCCUGAUGCAGCGACGCCGCGUGAGGGAUGACGGCCUUCGGGUUGUAAACCUCUUUCAGCACGGAAGAAGCGAAAGUGACGGUACGUGCAGAAGAAGCGCCGGCUAACUACGUGCCAGCAGCCGCGGUAAUACGUAGGGCGCAAGCGUUGUCCGGAAUUAUUGGGCGUAAAGAGCUCGUAGGCGGUUUGUCGCGUCUGCUGUGAAAGCCCGGGGCUCAACCCCGUGGUGUGCAGUGGGUACGGGCAGACUAGAGUGCAGUAGGGGAGACUGGAAUUCCUGGUGUAGCGGUGAAAUGCGCAGAUAUCAGGAGGAACACCGAUGGCGAAGGCAGGUCUCUGGGCUGUUACUGACGCUGAGGAGCGAAAGCAUGGGGAGCGAACAGGAUUAGAUACCCUGGUAGUCCAUGCCGUAAACGUUGGGCACUAGGUGUGGGGGACAUUCCACGUUUUCCGCGCCGUAGCUAACGCAUUAAGUGCCCCGCCUGGGGA
rnacentral:rRNA from 1 species